GAUGAACGCUAGCGGCAGGCUUAAUACAUGCAAGUCGUGGGGCAGCAUGAUGUAGCAAUACAUUGAUGGCGACCGGCAAACGGGUGCGGAACACGUACACAACCUUCCUUUUAGUGGGGAAUAGCCCAGAGAAAUUUGGAUUAAUACCCCAUAACAUAUAGAGAUGCAUCAUCUUAAUAUUAAAGCUUCGGCGCUAGAAGAUGGGUGUGCGGCUGAUUAGGUAGUUGGCGGGGUAACGGCCCACCAAGCCUACGAUCAGUAGCUGAUGUGAGAGCAUGAUCAGCCAAACGGGCACUGAGACACGGGCCCGACUCCUACGGGAGGCAGCAGUAAGGAAUAUUGGACAAUGGACGAAAGUCUGAUCCAGCCAUGCCGCGUGGAGGAUUAAGGUCCUCUGGAUUGUAAACUUCUUUUAUUUGGGACGAAAAAAGAUCAUUCUUGAUCACUUGACGGUACCAGAUGAAUAAGCACCGGCUAACUCCGUGCCAGCCGCCGCAGUAAAAC
rnacentral:rRNA from 1 species